CUGCCCUCCCUGGGAAGGAGCCCACAUCACACCUCAUUGACAUCAGGCUGGGCCCUGUCGCAUGCUUUGGGCAAUGGAACGUGAGCACAAGGGACCUGUGUCACUUCCUGGUGGAAGCUUUAACAGCCAGUAUGUGCUUCUCUGUGAUCUCUUUUUUUCCCUCUGCCAGAAGAGGGAACACAUGCCACAGAGUUGUCUUCAUCAGCCCAGGUCCCAGAAUGAGGAGGACACAGAGCAGACCUGUGGCCAACCUACAAUGAACAUGGAGCACGAGUGAGACAUAAAUCUCUGCCUCUAUACUGUGGUAACUCCAGAGCCAACAGAGACGCUCCAAAACCCGAAAAGGCUUGAAGCUUUCGUAUGAUCUUUGGCCUCAUUCUCCAAACUCCAGCCAACUAAACUUCCUGGAGGUCAUCUGCCACUGCAUUUUCCACAACGCCAUAAAAGUUACAGCUGUUUAGAGCUGGUUGGAACCACACAGAUCAUCUACGAGAUGAUCUACACAGAUGAACAAGGACAAUAAACUUUUAGUGACCAUGUACUACAUCCCAGGA